UGGGAAAAAAAACAUUGAACCACUUACUUAUACUAAAAAUGAAAAACUUAUCUGUCAAAAAGACAACACACCAUGCCACAAAUCGCAGAAGACAACAGAAUACUUCAUGGGGAUUUAUGGCAAGAAAAGUGAGAGGGUCUGGCUGCAGACCUCCACUCUCAGGACCCUUCCUUGCAGACCUGCACUGUGAGGUCUCCUCCACUCUCAGGACCGGAAGUUUAUUCGACGGAAGCACGUAUUUAGCGUUUCCCACGUGAAGUACGGAGACAACAAAAUGCAUAUUUCAGUCCUAACAGCCGGCAGCACGCCCAAAAUGAAACGCUGCAAGACAUGCUGCAAACAAUUCCACCAUCCGCUGUGCCUAAAGUUUAAACCUGCCAAACUGUCCAAGCUGCAGAGCCACUUGGAGGCACACAAAAAAGGUGGCAUUUUAUUUAAAGAUAAAAUUAUAUGCAGAUGCGGACUGAACUGCAGGGAUCAGGGAC